rnacentral:piRNA from 1 species
UGGUGAAUUAUUUUAGCAAUG